GGCGAAAGUCGCUUUUCCCGCAAGGGACACUAGUCGAGGUGCUGCAUGGCUGUCGUCAGCUCGUGUCGUGAGAUGUUGGGUUAAGUCCCGCAACGAGCGCAACCCUGCCUUUAGUUGCCACCAGGUUACGCUGAGCACUCUAAAGGGACUGCCGGUGAAAAACCGGAGGAAGGUGGGGAUGACGUCAAGUCCUCAUGGCCUUUAUGUCCAGGGCUACACACGUACUACAAUGGGCGGCACAAUGAGUCGCAAACCCGCGAGGGGGAGCCAAUCUCAAAAAACCGCUCUCAGUUCGGAUUGCAGUCUGCAACUCGACUGCAUGAAGCCGGAAUCGCUAGUAAUCGCUGAUCAGCAAGCAGCGGUGAAUACGUUCCCGGGCCUUGUACACACCGCCCGUCACAUCACGAAAGCCAGUUGUACUAGAAGCCGGUAAUUCAACCGCAAGGAGAUAGCCGUCCAAGGUAUGACUGGUGAUUGGGGUGAAGUCGUAACAAGGUAAGCGUAGAUGA
rnacentral:rRNA from 1 species